rnacentral:rRNA from 1 species
GAUGAACGCUGGCGGUAUGCUUAACACAUGCAAGUCGAACGGACUCUUCGGAGUUAGUGGCGGACGGGUGAGUAACGCGUGAGAAUCUGGCUUUGGGUUCGGGACAACCACUGGAAACGGUGGCUAAUACCGGAUGUGCCGAGAGGUAAAAGAGAAAUUGCCUGAAGAUGAGCUCGCGUCUGAUUAGCUAGUUGGUGAGGUAAAGGCUCACCAAGGCAGCGAUCAGUAGCUGGUCUGAGGGGAUGACCAGCCACACUGGGACUGAGACACGGCGCAGACUCCUCAGGGAGGAAGCAGUGGGGAAGUUUCCGGAAUGAGCGAAAGCCUGACGGAGCAAUACCGCGUGGGGGAAGAAGGCUCUUGGGUUGUAAACCUCUUUUCUUAGGGAAGAACAAAAUGACGGUACCUAAGGAAUAAGCAUCGGCUAACUCCGUG